GCAGAUAUAGUUUAACCAAAACAUUAGAUUGUGAAUCUAAACACAAGAGUUUAACCCUCUUUAUAUGCC
rnacentral:tRNA from 1 species